GUUGCCUCCCCGCUCCCGACUUUUAAUAGGCUGGGGAAGGAAGGUUGGGAAACUUGACAUUGUCUUAAGAAGAGUCCCGUCCCCCCCCAGCAAAGGAUAAAAAGGGGUGGAAAAAAAAAAUAAUAAUUAAAAAAAAUAGGGAGGAGGAGGGGUGGAAAAACUUGCUUACGGUGGGAAACUUGAUGGAUUUGUGCGCUGCCGAGAGCAGCGCGGUGUGAGCAGCCCCUCGCCGGCUGGAUGGAUGAUGGGAAUCUCACCAUGAGGCAGAUAGCUGAUCAGCUUCCCUGGAUUUCGCUGACGCCACAGGAAAGCUUUGCCUGAAGAUGGAAACACUGGAGUCGGAACUGACCUGCCCUAUCUGUCUGGAGCUGUUUGAAGACCCGCUGCUGCUGCCUUGCGCUCACAGCCUCUGCUUCAACUGCGCGCACCGCAUCCUGGUCUCCCACUGCGCCACCAACGAGCCGGUGGAGUCUAUCACCGCCUUCCAGUGCCCGACGUGCCGCUAUGUCAUCACCCUCAGCCAGCGCGGUCUAGACGGGCUCAAGCGCAACGUCACCCUGCAGAACAUCAUCGACAGGUUUCAGAAAGCCUCGGUCAGCGGGCCCAAUUCCCCCAGCGAGACCCGCCGGGAGCGGGCGUUCGAUAGCAACAGCAUGUCGUCCUGCGAGAAGGUCCUCUGCCAGUUCUGCGACCAGGACCCUGCCCAGGAGGCGGUGAAAACCUGCGUUACCUGCGAGGUGUCCUACUGCGAGGAGUGCCUGAAAGCCACUCACCCCAACAAGAAGCCGUUCACCGGCCACCGGCUCAUCGAGCCCAUCCCAGACUCUCACAUCAGGGGAUUAAUGUGCUUGGAGCACGAGGACGAGAAAGUUAACAUGUACUGCGUGACCGACGACCAGUUAAUCUGUGCCUUGUGUAAACUGGUCGGGCGACACCGUGACCAUCAGGUGGCAGCUUUAAGUGAACGCUAUGACAAGCUAAAGCAAAAUUUGGAGAGUAACCUCACCAACCUUAUUAAGCGGAAUACCGAACUGGAAACUCUUUUGGCGAAACUCAUUCAGACCUGUCAACAUGUAGAAGUAAAUGCAUCCCGCCAAGAAACCAAGCUGAUGGAAGAAUGUGAUCAGCUCAUUGAAAUAAUACAGCAAAGACGACAAAUAAUUGGAACCAAAAUCAAGGAAGGAAAGGUGGUGAGGUUGAGAAAACUGGCUCAGCAGAUUGCGAACUGCAAACAGUGCAUUGAGCGCUCAACAUCCCUCAUCUCUCAGGCUGAACAGUCGCUGAAGGAGAACGAUCAUGCUCGCUUCCUGCAAACUGCUAAAAAUAUCACUGAAAGGGUUUCCAUGGCAACUGCAUCCUCCCAGGUUCUGAUUCCUGAAAUUAAUCUCAACGAUACUUUUGAUACUUUCGCACUUGAUUUUACCAGGGAGAAGAAAUUGUUGGAAUGCCUUGAUUACCUUACAGCUCCCAACCCACCCACCAUUCGAGAAGAGCUCUGUACAGCUUCUUAUGAUACCAUUACUGUCCACUGGACAUCGGAUGAUGAGUUCAGUGUGGUCUCUUACGAGCUGCAGUACACCAUCUUCACUGGACAAGCUAAUGUUGUUAGUUUAUGCAACUCAGCCGACAGCUGGAUGAUUGUUCCCAAUAUCAAACAAAACCACUACACAGUGCACGGGUUACAGAGUGGCACUAAGUACAUCUUCGUUGUUAAGGCCAUUAAUCAGGCGGGCAGCAGAAGCAGCGAGCCCGGCAAGCUCAAGACAAACAGUCAGCCAUUUAAACUGGACCCCAAAUCUGCUCAUAGAAAAUUGAAAGUGUCUCAUGAUAACUUGACAGUGGAACGUGAUGAAACAUCCUCCAAAAAGAGUCACACACCAGAGCGAUUCACAAGCCAAGGGAGCUACGGAGUAGCUGGCAACGUAUUCAUUGACAGCGGGCGGCAUUACUGGGAAGUGGUUAUAAGCGGGAGUACGUGGUAUGCCAUUGGUAUUUCCUACAAGUCAGCACCGAAGCACGAGUGGAUCGGGAAGAAUUCUGCCUCCUGGGUGCUUUGCCGCUGCAAUAACAUGUGGGUGGUGCGGCACAACAGCAAAGAAAUCCCCAUCGAGCCUGCGCCUCACCUCCGGCGGGUCGGGAUUUUGCUGGACUACGACAACGGUUCCCUUGCUUUUUACGAUGCUUUGAACUCCCUACACCUUUACACUUUUGACAUUACAUUUGGGCAGCCGGUGUGCCCCACGUUCACUGUGUGGAAUAAGUGUUUGACCAUUAUAACUGGCUUGCCUAUCCCUGACCACCUAGACUCCUCCGAGCAGCUCGCAUGACUGCUAAAAGCCAAAAGGUAGGACGACACAUCUUCCCAGGGUGGCCAGGCCCACAGGAGCUUGCCCAGAGCUGGUAGACUGCGUGGCAUCCCGGCUGUCGCUGCCAAAUCCAGCCAGAACUGAAAAGGGGAGGAUAUCUCCUUACUGUGUACUUUGUACGGAAGGACGAGAAGUGGCUUUAAUAAUACCUUUGAACUUUCAUUUGCAGUUGGUUUUGUUUGGUUGGUUUUGUAUUUAGUCUCUUACAGGAAGAUUUAUAAAUUAUUUAUAAAAAAAAAAAAAAAGAGCGAGAAGAGAAAGCCUGGUUUGGACACCUGGAAAAUGACUUAUUUGUUUUGCACAUUAAUGGUCCUAUUAAUUAAACUUUCAUCAGACCUUUACAUCAUUUUAUUUUACAGUGGAUAAAAGCAGGAAAUUGGAAGGAUGAAAACUGUGCAGUGGACAAGUCAGUAUACUGCAGGUUUUACUCGUGCCAAUAGUAGCGCGCUCAUUACUAGUCUUACUGAGUGCAAGAUCUCCUAAUCUCUCCUUUGCCCAUGGGAGUGUGCAGACCAAAAAGAACAAAAAUGAACAAGUGAGGGAGUGGAGCUAGCCAACACAGCAAAAGAAGAAAGUUUAAUUUACUUCUCUUCGCAGGGCAGUGCUCUCUCUGUUCAUAAAAAACAUAGAGAUGUGAGUGGAUAAAUCAUCUGGUGAUUUAUUUUAUUGAUGGCAACAUUCCCAUCUACCAGCGCUUCGCUUUCGUCUUUGGGAAACAUUGUAGAAUCACUGAGGAUGUGAAAGACUGAUACCAUCUCUGAGAAUCAGCAACGCUGGAGGAGAGCAGCCAAUCCAAGGUCUGACUGUAGACUAAUUUGAUAAAGCACGGCAUCCUUUAAGGAUUGAUUGUAACGGAAGAUGUCACGGUUCUGAUGGUAGACAUGUGAAUGCUUAUUGCUCAUUUUACAAGGUUCAACACAGCAAGCCCAGCCAACAACCCCGAAGUGAGACAUGCGCCACUUUACCAUUGAUUUUAAAUUAAAUACAAAUGUUCCAUUGUCAUACACGAUGUAGUCUCUAUAACAAAGCAAGGAAAUCUGUUUUACAUGUGCUGUAUGGAGAAACACUGCAGCUGGAGUUUGCUCCUAGUUAUCAUUGUCCUGGGUUGUUUGGGAAAGCACAGUUCUCUUUGUGAAUGAGGAGUAAAUAGCAAGUUUUCAGCAGCAGUAGGAAUCUGCAUGGGCCGGCCCUACGUUCAUCCUGGAGUUGGUAGAUGCACUUCAGUGAGGGCAAUAGAGGUUGUACCUACUUUAUCUCAAAGCUGAAUCAGGUGCAUUUUUUUUCUCUUUUCCUUCUCCAGAAUAGAAGCCCUUUGUAAUUAAUACAAUGCUUAUGUAUAAAUGAUCAUUUUGGGAGAUGCUUGAGGCAUAUGACAACGUUAAAAGAAUGGUUUUCCUACAGUGUAUUGUUUUUACUAUGCAAGUGGUGAAAAUCUGCCUGUGUAGAAAAAGGAUAAAUUGAAUAUCAGCUUUAAGAAAAGAUUUGCUCAGUAAUUUAUAACCAUGCUUUAGGUGUCUUUUGAAGAGGAUGCCUCAAUGCACUUUGUUCACUAAUGGAUCCAAAAUAAAAUGGUCCCAGGCUCAGCUUCAGAUUUUUUAAAUACUGAUUCUCCAGGUACAAAGCUGUACUACAGUUUGCCUUAUGAUGUAGAAAACUUAUGAGCAAGAUGAGGGAUAGGUACAUGCCUACUUGGUUUUUCCUUUUUUACUAGAAAAUAAAUGCCUAUCCAUGUUCCUUUGAUUUCCCUUUACAUGCCUUUCUAACUGCUGAAUUAAAUGGAGAAAAGCCUGGCAGUACGUUGCUGGUACCAUGGCUUUCAGCUGGGGCAGCAUCCUGUGAUUCACAGGGAAGGAAAUGACUCAGGCUGGAGAAAUGUUAUAGUGAAGAUUGUUGAUGCUCUUCAGGCUGAUAGAAAAAGAAUUGCUCAAAUAAAAGGUGAGAGUUUCUGCAGGAAGCACUUCCUGAUGGGAAAAGGAUUCGCGUUCCAGGAAGGAUAGCUAAGGAAAAUCACCCAAACUAGGCGAAUAUUUUGGAAAAGGCUUGGCAAAGAGGGAUUAAUGGGGUUCAAGUCCCAGUGAAAAGUGGAAUAUGGACAGGACUGAGAUAUAGGUAGUCUGGUGUGCUUUGGAGGGACCAGUCUGAGGAUUUCUCUUUGCAGAGAGAAUGGGAAUAGCUUGUGAAACUGCACUGGCUCAUCCUGCUUAGGGGACUUGGAGUCGGAAGCAGCAGCAGAAGAUAAAGGAACUGAAACACAAGUCAAGAAAGAAGGAACAUUUUCUUUCCCUUUUCUACUCAUUAAAAAGAAAAAGAAAUGUGAAAUAUCCAACAGCAGGAAACAACACAGCAUGAAAAACUUCUGUAAAAUGACAGUCUUUUUCCUUACCUUUGUGAUUUGUAACAUCAAUGAUCAUUGCAAUGGAGGCAGCUUUUAAACUGUAACUUAUUUUCACUGAUUGUGGCAACUUGCUUCGUUACUUCUGUUAAUUUUCACUAUUUGAACAAAAUGUUCCUUCAUUUCUGCUGCCUAAAACUUAGUCAGCCUAAGAUCCUGAUUCACGUGCAAGCAGGGCCUUAAGUACUUCCCAGUCCAUACAAGCGUGGAAUUAAUCCUAUCUCCUUAUAAACCCUGGGCCCUUCCACUAGCACGGUGGGAACGUGGAGCCACUUUUUUCUGGCUCUAGUUGACCCUACCAAGGUUUUUGGUAAAUUAGGUAACUAGGCAAGUACUGCGUCCCUAUGAGGCCUCUAGGUUUGGGAGCUUGGUGGGUUGAUGUGGCAGAAGUAGGGCUGAUCUGUCUUUUACACAGAAGCAGGCACUGAUUAAGUGGUUAAAAGCAACGAUGGAUGGUUUUCUGGAAUGGAAUGUGUCUGAAGGGUGGUGAGGAUGUUUGAUACUGGAUGAUGAGGAAGUUUUGCCAAGGCGUUGGUGAGGUCUCACUGUCAAGGAUGUUAAUGAAAUGUAACUACAGUCACCGUAAUCCGAAAGGCUUUUGAAAAAAUCUUUGUAAGGUUAUUGUGCUCCGAAUGGUGUUAAAAUAUGGAAUUUAUGUAAAUGUAAAUGAACUGAUGUUUAGUUAUUGGAAUAAGAUACUGCAGAUGUAUUGUGGGAUAUAUAUAUAUAUAUAAAUGAAUGUGUAAUCUAGAUGAUUUGGGUUGUGAAAGAUGGUGCUUUGGCCAUCUGUCAGUGAUUUUCUUUUACCAGGCUAAGGAAAUUGUGGAUAUGGAAAGAAAUAACAAUUUAUUAGCAAGUUUUGGAUUGUAUGAAUGUGUCUUGAUUUUUGUAAUAAAGAAUGUUAACUCUA